rnacentral:misc_RNA from 1 species
GAAACAUAUAAGUGGUUGCUUGUGAAAUAAACAACUGGACAAAAGCAAGAUUAGUUAUUCUUUGUUUAGAUGACAAAAUAUCAUUAUUACACAUUCUUUUGACUUCAACCUUAAAAAUCUAUCAACAACAAAAACAAGAAUCUAGAUACACAUCACUCAUUAGAAAUCACCAUUCAAAGUUUAGUUUAAUUGCACAUAUUGGCAGACCAACUAGAUUACAUAUCCUAAAAGACCAACGAAUGCAGGAUCUAU